UUUAUCUGGUUUUUAUGGUCUGUAUUCACACUGGUUUUACACUCUUUUCUAAAAGUAUGACCCAUAUGUGUGAAUGUAAAUAGUGUUAGUGUGAGAAGGCUCAAAGGUCUUUAUAUAUCUUUUAGAUUUUAUUUGAUAUUGUGUAUAUGGGUAAAACUUGUAGAAUUUAAGGGGAAAACACGUGUUUUUUUUUUGGGGGGGACCCAUUAAAAGAAUAUUUUUUUAGACAUAAACUCUUUUUGUUAAUGUGAAGAAUUAUUAUUUGUUGACGUUUAUCGCAUCCUUUGUAGUAGUAGCGAUGUUCCUUUCAAGUUUCUGCCCUAUCAGCUUUCGAUGGUAGUGUAUUGGACUACCAUGGCAGUAACGGGUAACGAAGAAUUUGGGUUCGAUUUCGGAGAGGGAGCCUGAGAGAUGGCUCCCACAUCCAAGGAAGGCAGCAGGCGCGUAAAUUACCCAAUCCUGACACAGGGAGGUAGUGACAAUAAAUCUCAAUAGGAAUCCUUGGGUUUUGUAAUUGAAUUGAGAACAAAAAGCGAUCGUUAUCGAUAAACAAUUGGAGGGCAAGUCUGGUGCCAGCAGCCGCUAUUUGUGUUAUAUCUUGCUGUCCCCUU
rnacentral:rRNA from 1 species